rnacentral:snRNA from 1 species
GGAUACGAGGGUGAUCUGGCUGCGACAUCUGUCACCCCGUGGAUCACCUGGGUUGAUUCAGGAUCUGGCUGGUGGGCGGGGUCCCCUCCCUCCCCCUUCCUGCCCCUCCAUGUGCCAUUCCUCUGGGGCUGCAUGCUCGGCUCCAGCUCCAGCUCCGGCUCUGCUCCAUUUGACAGGGCAUCACCCCCCACAGAGAGGAUUUCCUCAGUCAAGGGCACUUGAGCUGCUGCCACAUCUCCAAACAAGCCCUCAAGUGUGACAGCUAAAACUCCCGCCUGGAGUAAGCGCCAUUCUAGCUUGAGGUACUUUUUCAGUCUUUUCUGAAUAACAAUAGCAU